rnacentral:rRNA from 1 species
UACGUAGGGGGCUAGCGUUGUCCGGAAUUAUUGGGCGUAAAGCGCGUGUAGGCGGUUUGUUAAGUCUGUUGUGAAAGCCCUGGGCUCAACCCAGGAAGUGCACUGGAUACUGGCAGACUUGAAUACGGGAGAGGGUAGUGGAAUUCCUGGUGUAGGAGUGAAAUCCGUAGAUAUCAGGAGGAACACCGGUGGCGAAGGCGGCUACCUGGACCGAUAUUGACGCUGAGACGCGAAAGCGUGGGUAGCAAACAGG